rnacentral:rRNA from 1 species
GUGGGGAAUAUUCCGCAAUGGACGAAAGUCUGACGGAGCAACGCCGCGUGAGUGAUGAAGGUUUUCGGACUGUAAAGCUCUGUUGUUUAGGACGAAAGUGCCUGUUGCAAAUAGUUACAGGUAUUGACGGUACUGAACGAGGAAGCCACGGCUAACUACGUGCCAGCAGCCGCGGUAAUACGUAGGUGGCAAGCGUUGUCCGGAAUUAUUGGGCGUAAAGAGCAUGUAGGCGGGAAUCUAAGUCUGUUGUGAAAAUGCGGGGCUCAACCCCGUAUUGCGAUGGAAACUGGGUUUCUUGAGUGCAGGAGGGGAAAGGGGAAUUCCCAGUGUAGCGGUGAAAUGCGUAGAUAUUGGGAGGAACACCAGUGGCGAAGGCGCCUUUCUGGACUGUGUCUGACGCUGAGAUGCGAAAGCCAGGGUAGCGAACGGGAUUAGAUACCCUUGUAGUCC